CAUGUUGUGUGGUGUGGCAGGAAGUGUCCAAAUACAAUAAAAAUUGAAGUUAGAAUGACGGAUAGAGUGCCAAAUUGUAAGUACCAUUAAAUCUUGUUUAUAUACCAAAAAUCACGUUAUAAGUAAAGUAAUUAUUUACGCGACCCUAUUACUGGGUUUAUCAAACGAUCCCAUUCUGAAAACUAACCUCAAAUUCUCCUGUGUCGCAAGAACCUGCCUGUCAUGUGUUUGACUUGUCUCCAAUUACCUGGAUUUGUUAAGUGCAUUCGUCUACGGAUUUCCUUUUUUCUUUUGAAUUUUUUGCAGAUCAUUUAACUAUGGUGGGAAUAAUAUUAAUGUACGAGAGUUGGGCAACAAGCAUAGCUUGUCGACGUCGACCUAUAUUAUUGAGAUGAGUCAUUUUUUUCGACGAGAUGCCUCAAGGAUCGAUCAACCCUUUUCCCGGUUCGCGUCUGCCAUGAAUCGACUCCAAUUCCGCGGAUGUCUGGCGGUGAAAAGAUGGAGGAUAGGGUAGAAAAGGGUAUGGCCGUAAAAACUGCUGAUGAAAAAGAAGAAAGAGAGAAAAAACUGCACCCCCAAACCCCUCUAGGGUAUUCUUGUGCCUUUGGUCGAGAUUGACGGACUCUCAUUCGACGAGGCAAACGAUCGAUGUCAAUGGAUUAUUCAGAAUGUACGAGAGAUUCUGAGAGGAUGAAUGGAUGAAACAAAAAUACCUGGAACAACGUUUUUUCAUAAAUUAUUAAUGAAAAAAAAUCAAACUGUUUACUCACCAUGUUUAUUAUCAAUUCAGCCCUAUUGUUUCAGCAUUUUUUUCUUCAUCCCCCUUGCGAAUUACCGGGUCCAUCUGUGAGUCACUCAUCCCUGAAUAUUUAAUUCCAGAAAGAAUCUUAUUUUUUUUCAGCGACGGGCGC